rnacentral:rRNA from 1 species
GAUGAACGCUGGCAGCGUGCUUAACACAUGCAAGUCGAACGAAGCACCUUAUUCUGAUUUCUUCGGAAUGAAAAAUUUGGUGACUGAGUGGCGGACGGGUGAGUAACGCGUGGGUAACCUGCCUCAUACAGGGGGAUAACAGUUAGAAAUGACUGCUAAUACCGCAUAAGACCACAGCACCGCAUGGUGCAGGGGUAAAAACUCCGGUGGUAUGAGAUGGACCCGCGUCUGAUUAGGUAGUUGGUGGGGUAACGGCCUACCAAGCCGACGAUCAGUAGCCGACCUGAGAGGGUGACCGGCCACAUUGGGACUGAGACACGGCCCAAACUCCUACGGGAGGCAGCAGUGGGGAAUAUUGCACAAUGGGGGAAACCCUGAUGCAGCGACGCCGCGUGAGCGAUGAAGUAUUUCGGUAUGUAAAGCUCUAUCAGCAGGGAAGAAAAUGACG